rnacentral:rRNA from 2 species
GAAAGGGCAUACAGUGGAUCUCUUGGUGAAGGUCGUUGAUGAAGGCCGUGGUAAACUGCGAUAAGGUGCGGUGAGGAGCAAACAUCCUGUGAUCCGCACAUUGCCGAAUGGGGAAAACCGCCCCGAUGCAAAUCGGGGCACUAUGAUAUGAAUACAUAGUAUCAUAGGAAUAACCCAGGGAAGUGAAACAUCUCAGUACCUGGAGGAAAAGAAAUCGAAAGAGAUUCCCUUAGUAGUGGCGAGCGAACAGGGAAGAGCCUAAACUUGUCCCGAUGCAAAUCGGGAUGAGGGUUGUAGGGUUUUAACAGUCCCGCUUCGGUGGGACAGGAAGUUACAAAUGGAGUCUAUAGUUGAAUGGUCCUGGAAUGGCCAACCAUAGAUGGUGAAAGUCCAGUAGAUAAAAUAGAUUUCACUUCCUCGUUAGAAUUCCUGAGUAUCAUUGAACACGUGAAAUUCAGUGAGAAUCCGCCCGGACCAUCGGGCAAGGCUAAAUACGAACCUUCAACCGAUAGUGAACAAGUACCGUGAGGGAAAGAUGAAAAGAACCCCUGAUGGGGAGUGAAAUAGAACAUGAAACUGUAUGUCUACAAGCAGUCAAAGCACUAUGUCCUGAUUCCGAGCAAUCGGGAGAAGGAAAUGUGCGAUGGCGUGCCUGUUGAAGAAUGAUCCGGCGAGUUACUUUAACGACCAAGUUUAAGUCCGGACUGAAUAGGUCCGGAUGAAACGUAGGGAAACCGAGUCUUAAUAGGGCGAAUAGGUCGUUGGAGUAGACCCGAAGCCAAGUGAUCUAUCCCUGGCCAGGUUGAAUCCUGCGUAAUAGCAGGAGGAGGACCGAACCAUUUAGUGUUGCAAAACUACUGGAUGAGCUUGGGAUAGGGGUGAAAGGCUAAUCUAACUUGGUGAUAGCUGGUUCUCCCCGAAAUAGCUUUAGGGCUAGCCUGAUAGUUUGAAUUCGAGGGGUAGAGCACUGGAUAAUGUAGGACCUGCAACCCAGGUUCCGAAUUUAACCAAACUCCGAAUACUCGAAUGGACACUAUUGGAGUCAGUUUGUGCGGGAUAAGCUGCACAUGCAAAAGGGGAACAGCCCAGACCAUCGGUUAAGGUCCCAAAAUUGAAGUUAAGUGGAAAAGGACGUAUUAUUGCAAAGACAGCUAGGAGGUUAGCUUAGAAGCAGCUAUCCUUUAAAGAGUGCGUAACAGCUCACUAGUCAAGCGAUUUUGCGCCGAAAAUGUCCGGGGCUAAACUUCAUACCGAAACCAUGGCUGUCCCGAUGUAAGUCCGAAUUUGGACUAUCGGGACGGGGUAGGGGAGCGUUCUAUCAGCAAUGAAGAUAGACCGAGAGGACUAUUGGAGUUGAUGGAAGUGAGGAUGUCGGAAUAAGUAGCGAUAAUGGUUGUGAAAAUCAACCACGCCGAAAGCCCAAGGUUUCCUUGAGCAAUGUUCGUCAGCUCAGGGUUAGUCGGUCCUAAGCUGAGGCCGAAAGGCGUAAGCGAUGGAUAUCCGGUUAAUAUUCCGGAACCAUUCUGGAGUCGUUAGUCACUAACUUUGUGCGCAUUAGAGUAUGGUUAUCUCCGUGUUGAAUUACGGGGUUUAAUCCCGCCGUGAGGCGGGAGAAUACGACCCUCGAGAAAUCGGGGGGAAGUAACUGAAUCUGGUGCCAAGAAAAGCAAAGUUUAGGAGUCUCCGGGAUGACCGUACCGCAAACCAACACAGGUGGGUAGGGUGAAUAACCUAAGGCGCGCGAGUGAUUUGCCGCUAAGGAACUCGGCAAAAUUGCCCUGUAACUUCGGGAUAAAGGGUUCCCCCGAUUUAUCGGGGGAUUCAAUAAAGAGUCUCAUGCGACUGUUUAACAAAAACACAGGUCUCUGCUUAAAUCGUAAGAUGAUGUAUAGGGACUGACGCCUGCCCGGUGCUAGAAGGUCAAGAGGAGUUGUCAUCUCUGACGCAAGUUGGGGAGAAGCGAUGAAUUUAAGCCCUAGUAAACGGCGGCCGUAACUAUUGUUUGGACCACAGUAGUUGUAAAAUCUGGCUAUAUGCUGGAAAAUCCUGGUAUGCUAACAGUACUCCUGUUAAUGUUGAUAAGAACAGGACGUGACAAUCUGUUAGAUAGGGCUGCGUAUUCGCACGAAUAAGUGCGAAUGAGUUACGCAGGACGGCGAGAAGGUGAGCCGGCGGGACAAUCAGCAGGAAAGACCUGAAAUGAGGGCUCCAUGCGAACAGAAACAGGCUAUUACUUAGCAGGUUUUGCAGACGGAGAAGGAAGUUUUAAUAUUUCUUUCAGACCGAGGCAAGAUUAUAAGUUACCGUGGAAAAUCUCUCUCUGCUUUAACAUUUCCCAGAAGGAUAAAGUUAUUCUGUCGUUAUUCAAACGUUAUUUGGUUUGUGGAACAUUAAGGAGCAGACCCGAUGGUGUUUGGUAUUACGAAGUAAAUAACUUCAAUGCGAUAUGGGAAAAGGUAAUACCUUUCUUUAAGAAAUAUAGAUUCUUGUCCGCUAAGAAAAAACGUGACUUCUCAAAAUUUUGCCAGAUAGCAGAAAUGGUAAAAAAAGGGGAGCAUCUUAAAGAAGAUGGUAUCAGAAGAAUUGUUGAAAUAAGACGAGAGAUGAAUGACGGUGGUAAACGCAAGUAUAGCAAUACGGAGAUCCUAAGUAAAUUUCAGGAAUCCCCAGAGACUAUACGCCAGAUCCCGAUAACUCGGGAAUGAUAUAGUCCGGUCUCCGAUGAAAAUCGGAGUUAACAUAAACGAACGGUCCUAAGGUUAGUUUAAUGCUAGCCUGUUCCGGUAGUAAUAUCGGAAGUAAUAUUUAACUAUAUGCGGGGAACUCCCCAAAAAAUGUUUGAUACUAGUCUAUUCAUUUGAAUGGGACAGUAAAAAAUCAACAUACAUGAGGACAAUCCGCAGGGAAGGCAUAUUAUGGAUAAUAAUAUGAACCCUCAGAGACUACACGUU